UACAGAGGUCUCAAGCGUUGUUCGGAAUUACUGGGCGUAAAGGGUGUGCAGGCCGCGCGGGCAGUCAAAUGUGUAAUCCAGGGGCUCAACCCCUGAACUGCGCUUGAUACUUCCGCGCUCGAGCUUUGGAGAGGAGUCUGGAAUUCUCGGUGUAGCAGUGAAAUGCGUGGAUAUCGAGAAGAACACUUAGGGCGUAGGCAAGACUCUGGACAAAUGCUGACGCUCAUGCACGAAGGCUAGGGUAGCGAACGGG
rnacentral:rRNA from 1 species